GAAAUGCGAUACGCAAUGCGAAUUGCAGAAUUCCGCGAGUCAUCAGAUCUUUGAACGCAGCCGGUGUAGGAGGGGAAUCUCUCCUGCAUGUUUGUUUCAGUGUGUAAAGUUGACUUCACAAAUCUCAAUGCGAUUGAGGCUUUAUUCUUUAAAGUCUCUCUCGUGAAAGAUGAGGGUGUGCGGUUGAGCCCGCCAACGGAGUGGUCACUGUUCUUCAGUGAUUUCGUUGGAGAAACAGGCUCUUCCAAAAAAAUCACACUCUAGAAUUCACAACAAUUCUUCAAUCCGCACCUGAAAUCAAGCAAGAUUACCCGCUGAACUUAAGC
rnacentral:misc_RNA from 1 species